AACGAACGCUGGCGGCGUGCCUAACACAUGCAAGUCGAACGCGAAAAGCAGUAAUGCUGAGUAGAGUGGCGCACGGGUGAGUAACACGUAAAUGACAUGUCCUCGAGACGGGAAUAACCAGCCGAAAGGCUGGCUAAUACCCGGUAAGCCCACGUCUUUGGAGAUGAGGGAAAAGGGUCGGGAAUUUUCGAAUCCGAUCGCUUGAGGAGUGGUUUGCGGCCCAUCAGGUAGUUGGCGAGGUAAAAGCUCACCAAGCCUAAGACGGGUAGCUGGUCUGGGAGGAUGAUCAGCCACACUGGAACUGAGACACGGUCCAGACUCCUACGGGAGGCAGCAGUGGGGAAUCUUGCGCAAUGGGAGCAAUCCUGACGCAGCAACGCCGCGUGGGUGAUGAAGGUCUUCGGAUCGUAAAGCCCUGUCGGAGGGGAAGAUGCUUGGAACGUCUAAUAGAUGAGCCAGGUGACGGUACCCUCAAAGGAAGCACCGGCUAACU
rnacentral:rRNA from 1 species